rnacentral:tRNA from 1 species
ACUUUUUUAGUAUAAAUAAAUAUUUUUGACUUCCAAUCAAAAGAUCUUGAUAAAGAAAAAGUA